GAUGAACGCUGGCGGCGUGCUUAACACAUGCAAGUCGAGCGAACAGAUGAGGCUCUUGCUCCUCUGACGUUAGCGGCGCACGGGUGAGUAACACGUGGAUAACCCACUUAUAAGACUGGGAUCACUUCGGAAAACCGGAGCUAAUACCGGAGAAUAUAUUGCACCACAUUGUUCAAUAGUGAAAGACGGUGUUGCUGUCACUUAUAGAUGGUUCCGCGCCGCAUUAGCUAGUUGGUAAGGUAACGGCUUACCAAGGCAACGAUGCGUAGGCGACCUGCGAGAGGGAUCGGCCACACUGGAACUGAGACACGGUCCAGACUCCUACGAGAGGCAGCAGUAGCGAAUCGUACGCAAUGGGCGAAAGCCUGACGGAGCAGCGCCACGUGAGUGAUGAAGGUCUUCGGAUCGUAAAACUCUGUUAUGAGGGAAGAACAAAUGUGUAAGUAACUAUGCACGUCUUGACGGUACCUAACCAGAAAGCCACGGCUAACUACGUG
rnacentral:rRNA from 1 species